AGACUCGGCAGAGGAGAUAUCAUAGUCAGAAAGUGGUUUUUCAGGGAGAGGCUCAUCCAUUGCAGCCUGGGUGUCCUGACCCCUGAAGUUCACAGUGCAGGAAACUUAAUUAAAUAAUUUAUAGUAAUUUGACUGUAUUUGUACUGUACCCUG
rnacentral:snRNA from 1 species